UUAAUUGAAACCAAAAAGAGGUAUACCACUGUUAAUGGUAUAAUUGAAGUAAAUUCCAAUUAAA
rnacentral:tRNA from 1 species